rnacentral:rRNA from 1 species
GAUGAACGCUGGCGGCGUGCCUAAUACAUGCAAGUCGAGCGAACGGACGAGAAGCUUGCUUCUCUGAUGUUAGCGGCGGACGGGUGAGUAACACGUGGAUAACCUACCUAUAAGACUGGGAUAACUUCGGGAAACCGGAGCUAAUACCGGAUAAUAUUUUGAACCGCAUGGUUCAAAAGUGAAAGACGGUCUUGCUGUCACUUAUAGAUGGAUCCGCGCUGCAUUAGCUAGUUGGUAAGGUAACGGCUUACCAAGGCAACGAUGCAUAGCCGACCUGAGAGGGUGAUCGGCCACACUGGAACUGAGACACGGUCCAGACUCCUACGGGAGGCAGCAGUAGGGGAUCUUCCGCAAUGGGCGAAAGCCUGACGGAGCAACGCCGCGUGAGUGAUGAAGGUCUUCGGAUCGUAAAACUCUGUUAUUAGGGAAGAACAUAUGUGUAAGUAACUGUGCACAUCUUGACGGUACCUAAUCAGAAAGCCACGGCUAACUACGUGCCAGCAGCCGCGGUAAUACGUAGGUGGCAAGCGUUAUCCGGAAUUUAUGGGCGUAAAGCGCGCGUUAGCGGUUUUUUAAGUCUGAUGCGAAAGCCCACGGCGUAACCGUGGAGGGUCAUUGGAAACGGGAAAAACUUGAGUGCAGAAGAGGAAAGUGGAAUUCCAUGUGUAGCGGUGAAAUGCGCAGAGAUAUGGAGGAACACCAGUGGGGAAGGCGACUUUCUGGUCUGUAACUGACGCUGAUGUGCGAAGGCGUGGGGAUCAAACAGGAUUAGAUACCCUGGUAGUCCACGCCGUAAACGAUGAGUGCUAAGUGUUAGGGGGGUUCCGCCCCUUAGUGCUGCAGCUAACGCAUUAAGCACUCCGCCUGGGGAGUACGACCGCAAGGUUGAAACUCAAAGGAAUUGACGGGGACCCGCACAAGCGGUGGAGCAUGUGGUUUAAUUCGAAGCAACGCGAAGAACCUUACCAAAUCUUGACAUCCUUUGACAACUCUAGAGAUAGAGCCUUCCCCUUCGGGGGACAAAGUGACAGGUGGUGCAUGGUUGUCGUCAGCUCGUGUCGUGAGAUGUUGGGUUAAGUCCCGCAACGAGCGCAACCCUUAAGCUUAGUUGCCAUCAUUAAGUUGGGCACUCUAAGUUGACUGCCGGUGACAAGCCGGAGGAAGGUGGGGAUGACGUCAAAUCAUCAUGCCCCUUAUGAUUUGGGCUACACACGUGCUACAAUGGACAAUACAAAGGGCAGCGAAACCGCGAGGUCAAGCAAAUCCCAUAAAGUUGUUCUCAGUUCGGAUUGUAGUCUGCAACUCGACUACAUGAGGCUGGAAUCGCUAGUAAUCGUAGAUCAGCAUGCUACGGUGAAUACGUUCCCGGGUCU